GUCCCCGCGUGGUCGUAGCUGCAGCCGCGAGCCAGCCGCGUUGAGGGCCAGGACUCGGGGGCGGCAGUUGUCGGCGCGUGGGUCGUGUGGAUCUCGGGAAGGUCGCUCUGCAGGCUCGUGGGACACAGUCCGGGGGUUGCACUUGCUGGAUCGGACUACCCAAUGCGGGGGGGGGGGCACCCACUGUUGAGCAGGUUCGCUGGCUGGAAGUUUGAGUCUCCGCCUUUGCCGAGGUCUGAGCGUGCAGAGGGAAAGAGGGGUAGCUACCCGGUGGGCCCCCGGGCGCGGGGAGAGAGGGCACCCCUCCAAACGCCUCCUUAAGGUGCGCAGCGGAGGUCGCUGCGCGCACCCGGCGCGUGUCCGGGCUCGCGGCGUAAGGAGCUGAGGGCAGGGUCCCGGUGGCCGUCACUUCGCAGUGCCUGCCUGGGGCAAGGUUUUCUGGUCGAGUGACCUGGGCUCUGCGGCGCCCGCGAGAAACCAGGAGGCGGUCGACCCGGGCUUAACUCCUCCGAGCGCUGUUGAUAAGCAGGGAGGGAGACCGAGGCUGGCUGCCGCCCCGAUCGCCGCGGCCGGGGAGGUGUAGACGCCCCGGGAGCCGCCGGCCCGAUGGGCUGGCUGCAACCAGGCCAGUCCCAUUCCGCGGGCAUCUCUCCCGCCGCCCCACCACUUCGCAUCCCCUCCUGGUUCAGGAUUUUGGGUUUGAGAGGCGGAUCCGGGCGCCGAAGGGAGGAUGCGCGGGGGACCCGCGGCCGAAGAGGGGUCUCCCGGGAUCGCUCGCCGCCGUGGCGCCCGGUGCCAGGCCUAGCGUGGUCAGAUUCCGGCUCCCCGGGCUUUGGCGGGAAGCUCGUUCACCUCCUCGUCCUCCUCUCGCUUUGUACCUGGAUGCGGCUGGCUGUUUAGAGUUGGGGUUGAACUUUUCCUGCACUUGCGGCGUCCUGGGGACCCCCGGUAGGGGGCGCCGAGAGCGAGCGCUGGAAGAGGGCCUGAGGAUGCUGGCUGGCUAGGAAGGCUUCCUCUGUGCCCGGUGAGUUGGUGGGGUCCGGGUGAGCAAAGCACAGGACCAGGCGGAUCUUGCCAUCAUUUCCUAGAGGCGGAGGGUGGCGCGGAUUCCAGAAUUUAGAGGACACAGUUGAAACUGUCCACUGCGUCUCUCUGUCUGCAAGCAGGGCCUGUUCUGAACCCUCAUGGACAAAUCGUGAUCUGUUACAUUCUUAAAGAGGGAG
ensembl:lncRNA